rnacentral:lncRNA from 13 species
GCCCAUCCCAGACUGCUUCUAGGGUUGCUGUAUUGCCCACAGUCCUGAGAGCAUGCCUAAUUCUGCCCCUUGGCACAUUUCCUCUGCAGGUGCAUGCAAGGAGAGAGGAAGCAGCUUCACGGUGUGAUUUAUGACUGCAGCUCCCAAACAAACCCUUGCAAUGGCAAUGCAUUAAAGGAGUUGGGCAGGGAACCAAAGCCGUGGACAGUGAAGAGUGGAUCUAGCUGCAUUUAAUUUAGCUUACAUUUCUCACUGAACAAAGGUGACAGUGGCAUCUACCUUCAAAAUACCUGGAGAGAGUGCAGAUAAUCAAUUGGAGAAUGGCAGAGAUGUGGGACUUCCUCCCGCUGACAAAGCACUGCAGAAGAGGUUCUUUGAGGAAUGGUCAACCUGAACAGAGGAAUGUUUCUGAUAGUGAGUGAAAAUUUGUACAGCUUCUUGACAAAGACAAGAUUCCAAAAAACUCAAGAGAGGAUCAAACUGCCCAAACUUCAAAACACAUGCAUUCAGAUAUGUGUACAAAUUCCACAAGACUGGGUCAUGAAAAAUCUCUUAUCAUCUCCUCCGAUGGACAGAUACAAGGGACAAAAAAACCUGCAAGGUAAGCACCAGGGACAAAGGUGCCAGCAAAGCCAAAAGAGCCUCAUACAAGUUAAGCAAUUCAAAGCCAGGUUCUCAUCUGUCUCUGUCCCUCCUGUGUGGGCGCAGAGGAGAGGUACAGAGACACGUCUGCAUCACCAACUUCCUUGCUUAAGGGGAUGUUGCUUAGGAGUGUAAUAUUAUUUUCUGGCAUAGAUUUUUUUCUCACAGAUGUAUUUGGUAGUUACACAGAUGGUUAUUUCCCAUUGAUGUCAGAGAUGAGGAGAUGAAAG